GACGAACGCUGGCGGCGUGCCUAAUACAUGCAAGUUGAACGCUAAAGCUUUAACUGGUGCUUGCACCGACUUAAGUUUUUAGAGUAGCGGACGGGUGAGUAACGCGUGGGAACGUGCCCUUUACUACGGAAUAGCCCAGGGAAACUUGGAUUAAUACCGUAUACGCCCUUCGGGGGAAAGAAUUUCGGUGAAGGAUCGGCCCGCGUUGGAUUAGGUAGUUGGUGGGGUAAUGGCCUACCAAGCCGACGAUCCAUAGCUGGUUUGAGAGGAUGAUCAGCCACACUGGGACUGAGACACGGCCCAGACUCCUACGGGAGGCAGCAGUGGGGAAUCUUAGACAAUGGGGGCAACCCUGAUCUAGCCAUGCCGCGUGAGUGAUGAAGGCCUUAGGGUUGUAAAGCUCUUUCAGCUGGGAAGAUAAUGACGGUACCAGCAGAAGAAGCCCCGGCUAACUCCGUGCCAGCCGCCGCAGUAAAAC
rnacentral:rRNA from 1 species